ACAGACUGGGUCUGCUUUUCCUAACACUGGCAGACUUUCUCAGAAAUUAACAGGAUGCCGUAUUUUUAUUCACCCAAGUCUAGUAAACUGAGGACUGGAGAAAUCACCCUGGACCUGAGCAAGAGGGCAGCCAGGAAGACGCUAUGCCAACAACGCCUGCCAACAUUUCAGGAAAAAUAAUUGAAAUAAUAAAUAAUUCUGAUUAGGCCGAUAAACCUGGAGGCUGAGGGCAGGACGGAUGCUGAUCUUCCUGACUGAAUCCCGCCAGUUACCUAGAACACGCUGUGUAGAACGUUCUCUUGGAUGUUUGCUGAUCAGCUAUGAUGCCAGGCAGUGAAAGGGCAUCGGGACAACAGUGUCUGUCCCGUGCUCUGUGAAACGGACACAGCACGACUUCACAGGGACACUUUGCAGAGCAGACUUCAGGAAACAAACAGAGCUUAAAAAUAAGCAUUUCCUAAAUAUGGAAAUGAGAAAACGGUGACAUCACUAGAGAAGACCCAAAGACUUUUUUUUUUUCCACCUUAAAUGUUGCCUACCUCUUUUGGGCCAAUAAAUAAAUCUAAGCUUCAGAAGUAAUUUUGAAAAGUUUC
rnacentral:lncRNA from 1 species